rnacentral:lncRNA from 1 species
GCAGUCGACCAUUGGAUCCGACCGUUGCAGACUGUCCAGUGCACACCGGAUAGUCCGAUGCUACAACGCCCGAGAGUCACUGGUUGCGGGCCUCUCUGCUCAGACUAUCCGGUCACACACCGAACAGUCCGGUGCACACCGGGCAGGUACUGUUCACUGUUCGGUGCGCCACCAUAGCGCUGGCUGACUGCCCUCUUCUUGGAUUUUUUCGUUGUUUCCUUGGGCUUCUUUCGUUCUCGAGUCUUGGACUUCUACGGAUCUUUUAGGUCUUAUUUUGAGGUGUUGCAUCCUCAUAGCCUUAGUCCAAUCCUCUUCGCAUCCUGUGAACUACAAACACAAACAUUACCAAACAUAUUAGUUCACAAGGUUAUGUUGAUUAUCAAACACCAAAAUCCUUUAGACAAAUGGGCCGGUGUCCAUUUUCCUUACAAUCUCCCCCUUUUUGGUGAUUGAUGACAACACAACCAAGCAAGCAAAUAUAACAAAUACUUUGAUGAAAAUAUGCAAUCUAGAUGCUAGGAUGCAUGAAUGUUCCCACAAAGUGAGAUUAUGGACUUAAGCCUCACCCUAACUCCACAAUCCACGUAAUUCCUAUUUUAGAACAAAAACACUUGUAGAAACAAAACCAUUUGCAAGUUUAAGAUUUUAAAAUUUUAAAUUGAGUGAUUGGGUGGUAUUUGGUGUUUGAUAUAUUUUGAAUUGCUUUGGUCUCUAAAAAUUCUCCCCUUUGGAAUCAAGCAUCGAAAAGGAAGAGAUUAAAAGCAUUUAGGAAGCAAAUAAAACUUGUCCUCUAAAAGAUUACUCCUUAAAAAAGUGUUCUCCCCCUUUAAAAAAUAUACUCUCAUUUUUUUUACCAUAAGAGCUAGUUUGGUAACCACAAAACCGGAGUGGAUUGGAGGGGAUAAAAUUUCCUCGUAUUCAAUUUUGAAUAAGAAGUGAAUUUUAACCCCUCUAAUCCUCUCCGGGUUUUGGACUCUCAAACUAGAUCUAAAAGAAGAUAUACUCCCCUAGAUUCUCUACUUAGGAAAAGAACAAGAGAAAAAGAGGUACAAUAUAUGAUUUGAAUAGACUAACUCCACUAUGCGUAGGUAAAAGAUAUAGUUAAAAUAUAUAAUUGUGCAAUUUUUUUUCUCUCUCCAGUGAACACUUCCGCAACCGAACAUGCCACCGCCCAGGGGAUCCACCCGCCCAGCUCUCCCACAGGCCACAGCCAUCGCAACAGAGCAACAUGCCAACAGCCAUAUUGGCGAGGCGGAGCAAUCCCGUAGUGGGAUUGAAAUCCAAAACCCUAAACUAACUCCAAUCCACACUUGCCGGCAUGGCCCUCAAGCGCUCGGCCGCCGCCGCCAGCCUGGGGUCGGCGUCCGACGCCUCCGACGGCGAAGCGGGCGCGGCCCGCAACAGCCACCGCCGCCGAGUCUCCCCGUCCCGCUCCCGAUCCGAGUCCCCUCGGCCCAACCUCGGCCCUAGCGCCGCCGCUUCCGACACCAACCGUGAGCGUUCCCCCCGCGACCACCUCGACUCCGAUGCGGACUCCGACGCCGACGCCGGCGCCGGCGCCGGCCGCGGCGCCCGUUCCUCGAGGCUUCUCGGCGAACGUUCCCCGAGCUUCCACUCCAACUCGGACGCUGACGUCGCCGGGCGCUCUCCGUCGCCGAGGCGCAACCGCGAGCGCACCCUUCACCUCCACUCUGACUCCGACUCCGACAACUCCACCACGGCCGCGGCCGCCGCCUCCGAUGACGCCGGCGACGCCUCGCCUUUGGCUAUUGCGCACCGUGCCUCGCACAUCGGGACCUCCAACGUCAAACCCGUCAGCACGCGCCCGAUGGAUGUGCCCUCGCGCGCCGCCGCGGGAUCUUCCCAACGUCGUUCCAAGCGCCGCCCCAGCCCCCACUCCCCGGAGCACCAGAAGCGGCCGCCCCGGGUUUGGAGUCCUGAAGACGAGGUGACCAUACUGAGUGCUCUCAUUGAGUUCCGUGCCAAAAAAGGUCGGCUUCCUGCGUCCAUUCAGGACACGAGCAAGGUACACAGCCAGAUUAUUCAUCAACUCACUGCUAAUGCUUCUACGGCUCAGCUUAGUGAUAAGGUCAGGCGCCUCAAGCACAAGUACAAGUUGCUGCUCACUCGUUCAAAGAAUGGACGGGAUCCUGAUUUGCCAACCAAACAUGAUCGCGAUGUCUAUCAACUUAGCAAGAAAGUUUGGGGAUUGAAAAGUCUACUACUAGUACGAGGAUCUCGUGUGUCACACGAGGACACUGAAGAUGCAGAAGAGAGCAAUGAAGAGCAGGAGAUAGAGGAGAGUGAUGAGGAUAUAGAAAAUGGAUGGGGACUCCGUGGUCGCACAGGCAAGAAACCAAGGGCAUUGACAUUUGAAAAUGGCAAUGGUAAUGCAAUUGUCACUGCAGGUAGGGCUUGCCAUGGUGAUGGCAGUGGGAGAGAUGAUGCUGAGAAGGGAAAACAAAUGUACCCAUACCUGUGGGAGGCUGUUGAGGAGCUUUCGAAGGAGCAUCCGAGUGGACCUAUAUUCAGGAAGGCAUUUGGUGUACUUG